rnacentral:rRNA from 1 species
UACAGAGGGUGCAAGCGUUAAUCGGAAUUACUGGGCGUAAAGCGUACGUAGACGGUUGGAUAAGUCAGAUGUGAAAGCCCCGGGCUCAACCUGGGAAUGGCAUUUGAGACUGUUCAGCUAGGGUGCGGAAGAGGGAAGCGGAAUUUCCGGUGUAGCGGUGAAAUGCGUAGAUAUCGGAAGGAACAUCAGUGGCGAAAGCGGCUUCCUGGUCCAGCACCGACGUUCAGGCACGAAAGCGUGGGGAGCAAACAGG